UGCCCAGCAACUCCUAUCCCUACCUCCUCGCGGUACCGGCCGGAAACUAUGAGCAACCUUAGGGAAGAUCGGGUAAUCAACCCUGGUGGGAACUUUGGUCAUAGGCUGACAGGGAAGG
rnacentral:ribozyme from 1 species